rnacentral:lncRNA from 1 species
CACAUUACAGAGAUACAGACACAUUACAGAGACACAUUACAGAGAUACAGACACAUUACAGAGAUACAGACACAUUACAGAGAUACAGACACAUUACAGAGAUACAGACACAUUACAGAGACACAGACACAUUACAGAGACACAGACACAUUACAGAGAUACAUUACAGAGAUACAGACACAUUACAGAGAUACAUUACAGAGAUACAGACACAUUACAGACAAAUUACAGAGACACAGACACAUUACAGAGAUACAGACACAUUACAGAGAUAGACACAUUACAGAGAUACAUUACAGAGAUACAGACACAUUACAGAGAUACAGACACAUUACAGACAAAUUACAGAGACACAGACACAU